AAUAAAAAAAUCUGCAAUGGCUUUACAUAGCUAGGAAACCAGAAGCUUAGCCGACGCAACACAGAAGUAUAAGCUGAUGCAACAGCAACAUAUCAAAUCGAUUUAUUUCAAGGGAUCAUCACAGUAUGGUACACAAGAAUUUUGGGGACAGUCGCCAGCGCAACAUGUGGCCGUGAUAUACAUGGUUACAGCUUACAUCACACUCAUACAAGGUACAUCGAUUUGCUCUCUCCGAGCUACUAAUACAGGCAGUACAUCUCAAUUACACCCUGUGACACUUAUGUCCAGGUGAAUGCACACUGUAUGUAGCUCCUCAUCUCGGUACUGGUCUUCUGCUAAGGGCAGAGGCUUUCUCGAGGGGAAAAAUAACUUCAGCCUUUUUGGAGAUGCUACUCUAAAAUCAUCUCCACAGUAUAUGAAGGAGACAGUUGAAAUAUGAUCUCCUCGACGGUUUUCGGAGUAAUGUACAUGUCUUUGUUUCUGCAGUAACCAAACACACUGAAGUUAGUAUUAUUACAAACAACACCAUCAAUGUAGCAGAUAUAGAAUGUACUUGAGGAUUUUAAUUUUACCUUCAUGACUCAAUGGCUGCAACCCUCACAGGCUUCAUUACUCUCACAAUGUUCCUCAUAUGCUCAAACCCCAUCACUAUCAGUCCUAUCAGAUAAAGAAAGCUCAGUUGGAACUUUGCAAGAAAGUUAUACACUGCUACAGCAGCAUUGCCAGCUUCAUCUUUUCGUAUUGUGAGGGUUACAGAUCUCGCAGAAAUAAGUGCCCCGGUUUCUGGUAAAGGUCAAAGUAAGCAGUGUGCCUUCCAACAUAGCCUUCGAAUAAAUUUCGCGACAUGCAGCCGUCUACGCAUACCUGAUGUGUUCUCUGGUUGCGACGACCACUCGUGAGGUUUCAUCGCAGAUUUGGUGGCCUUUAUCAGAUCCAUCAUUGCGUUGUUGACCUGUAGUAGAUCAAUAUAUUAUAUCAGUUUCUUAUUCUUUACUGUAACACUUAAGGAUGAUAUGUAGAACAACAAGGAGAAACCAAAUCAACAUUCAAUUUCUCAUUUUUGUUUCUUGUUUUCACUGGAACAGCAAAGUGGCAACCUUAGAGGUGAAAUAAUCCUGAGAAGAUAAGAAUCUCCAUGGUGAAGUAGACUGGUCAGUAUGUUAUGUACUUAUAGACAGUCCAUGUCUGUAAGCUAACAUGUUCAACUCUAGGACUUGUAUGUACUACAAUUAUGUCCAAACAUCAUGUUUUUAACAAGUUCUAUUGCUGUCAACUCACAAAGUCAAUUUAGAUUCAUAUACUAGUUGUUUGAGCAGCAGGACUGUACAACUGUAAUCCUGCGGCUGAAUUUUUAUUCUUGUUUGUCUUUUUUUUGUGUUUGAUGAUUUCCUGCAUUUCA